AUUGAACGCUGGCGGCAGGCCUAACACAUGCAAGUCGAGCGGAUGAAGGGAGCUUGCUCCUGGAUUCAGCGGCGGACGGGUGAGUAAUGCCUAGGAAUCUGCCUGGUAGUGGGGGAUAACGUCCGGAAACGGGCGCUAAUACCGCAUACGUCCUGAGGGAGAAAGUGGGGGAUCUUCGGACCUCACGCUAUCAGAUGAGCCUAGGUCGGAUUAGCUAGUUGGUGGGGUAAAGGCCUACCAAGGCGACGAUCCGUAACUGGUCUGAGAGGAUGAUCAGUCGCACUGGAACUGAGACACGGUCCAGACUCCUACGGGAGGCAGCAGUGGGGAAUAUUGGACAAUGGGCGAAAGCCUGAUCCAGCCAUGCCGCGUGUGUGAAGAAGGUCUUCGGAUUGUAAAGCACUUUAAGUUGGGAGGAAGGGCGGUAAGUUAAUACCUUGCUGUUUUGACGUUACCAACAGAAUAAGCACCGGCUAACUUCGUG
rnacentral:rRNA from 1 species